GUGAAUAGUGGUUUCAGCUACUUGUUCUUUUCUAUAAAAUGCCAGUAGAAAUACAGUAGCUGUUCCAGCAUAUAAUUAGAAUGGCUGCAGAAAACACAUUAAAAAUAUGAUAAACUCUAAUAUGGCUGAAAUUUAUUGACUCUAAUAUGCUCAACAAGUACUCAAAUAACAAUCUUUCAUAUAUAUCUCCAUCCAAGUAGUGUUCAUAGAAGUUAAUUUGUAGACCUUCUAGAAAACUUAAACAUCCUACAGCAUUUAUAUUUUAUUCUAUUUAGUCAUCACUAUUCUCUGAGUAACAUAACAAAAUAGAAAAAUAACAUGCUUCAGGCAACCUUAUUAGUUGUAACAGUCUUUGUACUAAAGGGGUAAUACACACGUUUCCCAUUUACAUAGUAUUCAAAGCACAAAGUUAACAAGUUGUACUUCUAACAGGUGGAUUUACUAUUUUUGACAUGUAUAUCACAGGAGAAAGCUAUUUAUCAAAUUGAUAUGAAGUUUAAUAUUCAUUUUUAACUUUUUUUCUGAAAACACAUUAAACACAGUCUUAUCUCUAAACUAAACAGAAUAAACCUAAGUUACCUAACUUCUCUAUUUUCUAGUUACCUCCGUAUCUACUAAUUAAAAAUAUGAUAUUUUCAAACACUUCAAAUCUUGCAAGGGAUUCAAAUCUAUAAUUUACCUCAUUAAUUUUAAUCUGUCGUAAUUCUUCCUCAGCUGCAGUCAAUGGGGCAGGGGAAGACUGUGACAGCAAAUAUUUUUUAUAUCCAUGUAAUGAUACAUCUUCCUAUUCAUCCAUCUGAAUUCAUAUCAGUUACCUAUUACCUAGGAGUUCUUUAAUCAUUUUAAUUGCAACAUAUAGAAUCCACAUAAAAAUAUAAGUUUUAUACCUUUACUGUUCCAAA